rnacentral:tRNA from 1 species
AUUUAUAUAGUUUAAACAAAAACAUUACAUUUUCAUUGUAAAAUUAAAUAUCAUUUAUUUCAUAAAUA